rnacentral:rRNA from 1 species
UACAGAGGUCUCAAGCGUUGUUCGGAUUCAUUGGGCGUAAAGGGUGCGUAGGCGGCGAGCUAAGUUUGGUGUGAAAUCCUGGGGCUUAACCUCAGAAUUGCACUGAAUACUGGUUUGCUAGAGGACUGGAGAGGAGAUUGGAAUUCACGGUGUAGCAGUGAAAUGCGCAGAUAUCAGGAGGAACACCGAUGGCGAAGGCAGGUCUCUGGGCAUUAACUGACGCUGAGGAGCGAAAGCAUGGGGAGCGAACAGG